rnacentral:lncRNA from 1 species
AAACCCUGGAGAUGGAGAGGUGAUAUGCAGAGAUCUUGGUGAUGGGGUAUAACACAUCCCCUAGGGAUGGAGGAGUCAUAGGAAGAGGCCCCGGGGUCACUGUUAGGCUCGAGGUGAACAAAUUGCUUCCCAGUUCCUCCCACAUUACCUAGCCACAGAUUGCAAGACCUCAAAGCUGAAUUAUCUCAUCCCUGUCCUGAUGCAACCUACAAACAAAGAAACCCCAGUCAAUCCAGGGACCUGUGUUCAUUUUGUCUGAAGAAUAAAGGACGAACAACAAGAAUUCUGCAUGAAGUCUCUACACAGAGACUUCUCUACACGGAGGCCUUCCAGCACAGGCUUUGAAGCUGCUAUGUUCCCAAGAACUGGCUCAGGACAUCUGGAUAACAAGUUUGACAAAGAUGUGAACAAUGAAGAAAGCUGAUUUAUCUGUAUAAGGCUUUUUGUCCACAGCCCAAAUAUAAAUCAACUCCCCAGCUUUCCACUUUCAACAAUUCAAUUCAAAUCAACAUUUUUAUGCAUCUAUAAUGUGCCGGCCAUUAUGUUAGGUACUGGGGAUAUAAAGACAAAACAAGACAAUCUCUGCGCUUCUAGAGCAUACAUUCUAUUGG